rnacentral:lncRNA from 1 species
GAACACUCUUCUGUGGUGGGCCGAACUUGAGCUGCUUUUCUGUCUCUUUUGCUCCUUUUUUCUUUUGGCUUUUGCUAUCUAAUUAUCAGUACCGACAUUUUAGCGUAAGCAGAUUGCUCUCUGCUUCCAAUUUUCCUAUUACUUUCCUUCCGCUCCUCAAUCAAAUCGGUCUUCCUCAAUCUCUCUGUGUUUUCAAUUUCAUCUUCUGUUGACGGAUUCUGCUUCUUCCUUAUGAUCUAACCUACUACCCCCCAUCUGCUUGUUUUUUAAGCUUUGAUUGUAUCUGUUCGUGAUCAUAACUUGGUCUGAUCCACUGAAAUUACCAGGUUCUGGUGACGACACAUCUGCCGUUGAUUUUGCUUCUCGGGUUUCUUUGCAUCCCAAGGUUAGGGGCUCUUCCUGAUUCUCUUGAUGUGAACUUCACCUUUUUUUCCUUCAUGCAUGAUAACUGCUCGACGAAAUGCUUUGUUCUGCAACAUGACACUGUCUGUGCUUUCUAUAAUCUGUUUCCUCUUCGCUAUCUAUAUGGCAAGGCUGAGAAGCUUAAAUUUUCUAUGGUAUGGUACCAUCGAUUGUUGAUCGUCGAAACUAAGAACUUUCGAGGAAGUCAAAACCCUGAGUUCAACUGAUAGAUUCCGUUUGGCUUAGUAGGAGUUAUUGCUGUUUGGGCAAUCAUUUAAAACGAAAAGGAAGAAGAAAAAAGACCUCAGUCUUUUGUCUCUUUCUGCUUUGCGGUUGAUCGGUGGGCCGACUCAGAAAUUCGUGUUGGUUAUAGGUUCAAUAUUUCGCAGCUCGUAUCAAUUAUGCAUAAAGAACAGACGAAGCACAAAGUUUUCUUCUUUGUGAAAGUUCUAGGAGGCUAUUUAAUUUCUGUGGUGAUCAAAUUGAAGCCUUGUUCCAUAAUUUUCUCGUCAAUCUAUAUACCUGAAACUGUAGGGAAGCUUAUCAAAGAGAGCUUUUAACUAUCUGCCUGCAUGCGUUUUGCUGAUUGCUAAAUUUGGUGUGCAGUGCAUCUGAGGGUCUGCCACUCCCCUUUUGAGAAAAGAAAUAUGGUUUCCGCAAACAGGGAAAUGGCUGUGUAUUGCUUUGACACUCUCGUUGCUCACUAUAACAACGAGGAAGCACCCCCUCCCGCCUUUGAUGAGGGCCAACAGUAAACCCGUUCAUCCUACCCUUCCCUCUUUUGUUCCAUUGAUUUCUAGUAUUUACGGCCAUAACCAUAUGAUUGAAUAGAAUUCUGGUGUAAAUGAAGCCCCUUUUUCAGUCUCGUUGUCUUCUUAAAACCCUUUUCGAUAGGUUUCAUAGUUUAAGCUACGAUCGUGAACAAGCAUCCUCGCUUUUUCAAUGGGAACUUUUUUUUUUCUCCUAGUUGUAUGCAUAAAUCAUAAUCAUCCGGCAUUUUAUGGUAGAUGGUACCAUUGUCGAUGAUGAUGAUAACCUCUUCAGUUCAAGCAAUGAUUUCGUGUUUUGUUCUUUCAGACUUCAGAGCCUUCUUUCCUGUUUCAUAUUUCCUUGGUACUUUGAUUUCUAAUGGACUCAGUUUGCUCAUCUGGUUCUAUUAUUUGUAGUGUGGUGUGUUAGCAUUAACUUGAUCUUCUUUGCAGUCGGGUCCUCUUUCAGAAUGUAAAUUUUUUAAAUGUUAUUCUCGCAUCUUGUUCUCACAGGAAUACUUUUUAUUAUCUUUACUGUGAAUUCACUAAGCAUAACAUGUCUUUUGUUAUAAAUUUUCUCCCAGUCCAUUGUUUGUCACUUGGAAGAAAGUGGUCAAUGGUGGUGAGCCUCGUUUACGUGGAUGCAUUGGGACUUUGGAGUCUAGAUACUUGAUUAAUGGAUUCAAGGACUAUGCUUUAACCAGGUAUUGAUGAUGAUAUGUUACUCAUUUAAGAAAUAUGUUUUAAUCUGUUGCACUCAAUGUGUGACAAACAAAUGGACAUUUUCACACCUGGAAAACACCAAUAGCAGUAAACUUAGUAUGGAAAAUGUAGUAAAAACUGUAACAAACGUAAUGAAAUUUGGUGCGUUUAAAUGUUGGAGUCAGGCCUGGACUAUUUCAUCCCCAGCUGCAUCAGUUGGCUCCAGAUUAUUUUUUUCACUGAUUUAUUUGUUAAGAUUAGAUGAAUUUAUUGACAAUCAAUUAUUCUGUUGCGGAUUGUAUUUAGUGCAUUUAGAACUUCUCAUUAUACUUCGUACCUCCUUUUAGAUGAAGUUGUUGGAAGAAUAUGUGAAAAGUGGAACAUAGUUUUCUUGAUAUGGAUUAUACAUUUAUAAGAUGGUACUUGUGCUUCAUGCAUAGUCUUACACCCAUCUCGUCUGACCUUUUCAUCAGAAUUAUUUCUGAAACUAGUUUUCUUAAAUACCUGAUUUGAUUGUUUCUGGAUCUUCUCUGGCCGAUUAUCUUAUGCAUGCCUGCCUCUGAAUUCUAAUUACAAUUUUUUGUAUUGGUACAGUGCUUUAAGGGACCGAAGGUUUCCUCCAAUACAGGCAAAAGAGUUGCCUUCCCUAGAAUGUACAGUGUCUAUUCUAACUGAUUAUGAAACUGCUAACAACUAUCUUGACUGGGAGGUAUGCUUUUUUUCUCCCCACACAUUUGGAAUACUAGUCUAUGCUGUAGCUACUUCGUUUAUAAUCACUAGAGGCUGGGGUUGACUUCAAUUUCUGCAGUUUAAGACCCCAGCCAUUUAUAUCACAAGAAAUGAAAGCUGUUAACGAGUCAUGUGGCAGCUCCAGGACGGUGUCCUUAGACAUAGACGGUUGCAGAAAAGCCAAUAUGAUAAAAAAAGUUGUUAGCUUUGUUUACAUGGUGAUGCAAGUAUACAACCUCUGGUGUUUUUCUGGAGGAAAAUCAAAGCCAAAUGGUCGUCUAGAAUCUAGAUUAUAGACUGACCAAAUGCAAACGUACAUUCAAUGAUAUUGCUAAAUUGCCAUUGUAGAUGUUGGAAAAAAACAAUUCCAAGGCCCUCCGACUAUGUGUUGUUGAACCCUUUAUAGUAUGGUGUGAUUUGUCAAAUAUAAAUAAGCUGCUUCUCUAUUUUGCAAGUUUGGAGUGUCAACUUCCAAGUGGUGAUCUGUUUUGUCAAUUAUGUGCUAGGCUGAUGUAUUAGAUGAAUAUAAGCGUUUAUUUGGGAAAGUUGGCAUCCCGUUGGUAGGAGGCAGUCGUCUCAUGUCAUGGCUCUGGUAUAAGAAUAGUGGGAUGCUGCAAAACUGACUUGGAAAAUGAGGAACAACAAGCAUCUUGAAAAAACUAACUUAAUUAGGUUUGAGGAGUUGGGCCCGUAUAUCCACAUUUAGCAUCUCCAAUGAUAUUUGCAUAUAUGCUCUCCGUUUGUGGCUUUUUGGCUGUUGCUUGCUACUCGUAUUGUGUUGCAACGUGCUUGCAUUGAGGCUGGAGUUUGGAGAUGCUAUCUGGGAAUCUGUUCUUGUUACUGGUUCAUCCAAACUUGUAACAAGUUGAAUUGAUCGUGUUACAAUUGCAGUUUGAUGAUGCACCAAUGUUAUAUUCAUAUCACAUUUGCUCUUCACGUAUUUGUUCACGUGUGGGAUAUUGAGGAUCCUAACAAGAAUAUGGUUUUGUGAUUAGCGUAUGAGCACGACAUCAAUGUGAAACAGGAAGUUCAGUUCCCUUUUGGGGGAUGCUAUUGCCCACCCAUAUCGGUAGUGGGUUAAAUACUUGAUAGGUUUGCUAGAUCCGGAUGCUCAGCCAUAUCGGUAGCAUUCCGCGGUCUUGUCUUAGCCACUCUUCCGGAACUCCAUUAGAUCCGACGCCGCCACAAGUUCCACUGUUAAUCACUUCAGCCAAUUCAUCAGAUUAAGUUGUAAUCUAACAAUUGAGUACUUGAUUGCAACUUUGUGACUUGUGAGAGAACCAUAAGUAAUCUACAUUUGUCCUUGGUAGUGUGCGUAUGCAGGCUUAAAGAUACAAGGACUAAAAUAAGCAUGCCUGUAAAGUUCAAGUACUAAAAAGUUCACAAGAACACUCUUCUGUGGUGGGCCGAACUUGAGCUGCUUUUCUGUCUCUUUUGCUCCUUUUUUCUUUUGGCUUUUGCUAUCUAAUUAUCAGUACCGACAUUUUAGCGUAAGCAGAUUGCUCUCUGCUUCCAAUUUUCCUAUUACUUUCCUUCCGCUCCUCAAUCAAAUCGGUCUUCCUCAAUCUCUCUGUGUUUUCAAUUUCAUCUUCUGUUGACGGAUUCUGCUUCUUCCUUAUGAUCUAACCUACUACCCCCCAUCUGCUUGUUUUUUAAGCUUUGAUUGUAUCUGUUCGUGAUCAUAACUUGGUCUGAUCCACUGAAAUUACCAGGUUCUGGUGACGACACAUCUGCCGUUGAUUUUGCUUCUCGGGUUUCUUUGCAUCCCAAGGUUAGGGGCUCUUCCUGAUUCUCUUGAUGUGAACUUCACCUUUUUUUCCUUCAUGCAUGAUAACUGCUCGACGAAAUGCUUUGUUCUGCAACAUGACACUGUCUGUGCUUUCUAUAAUCUGUUUCCUCUUCGCUAUCUAUAUGGCAAGGCUG